rnacentral:rRNA from 1 species
UACGUAGGGCGCAAGCGUUGUCCGGAAUUAUUGGGCGUAAAGGGCGCGUAGGCGGCUUGCACCGUCAGAUGUGAAAUUCCUGGGCUUAACCUGGGGGCUGCAUUUGAUACGUGUGGGCUUGAGUGCGGAAGAGGGUCGUGGAAUUCCCAGUGUAGAGGUGAAAUUCGUAGAUAUUGGGAAGAACACCGGUGGCGAAGGCGGCGACCUGGUCCGUGACUGACGCUGAGGCGCGAAAGCGUGGGGAGCAAACAGG